UCUGCUCAAUGAUUUUUUAAAUUGCUGUAGUAUUUUGACUAUACAAAGGUAUUGUAAUAAGACUUUAAUUGAGUGCUAAAAGAAUGGACUUUCAAAAAAAUUCUUUCUUAAUUUUAAAAGUUAAAGUUAUUUUUAUAUGUGAAGAAACAAUAAUAAAAAUUUAGGACAAGAAGACCCUAUGAAUUUUUAUAAUUUGUUCAUAAUUAAUUAUGAACAAAUUAUUUAAUUGGGGCGAUUAAUUAAUAUUUUAAACUUUUUAAAAAAAAUGUGAUCCAUUAAUAAUGAUUUUAU
rnacentral:rRNA from 1 species